GUGCUAGCUUUGGCAGCAUAUAUACUAAAAUUGGAAUUAUAUAGAAAAGAUUAGCAUGGCCCCUGCACAAGGAUGACACACAAAUUUGUGAAGCAUUUCACAUUUUU
rnacentral:snRNA from 1 species